UGUGUUGUAUAAAUAAACAAGUUAGUAGAGUGAAGAAAUACAGGCUUUUAUUUUCAUUUCUUCUCUCAGGCUCUCUUCUCUCUUCUCUAUCUCUCAACUAGUUGCUUCCAUUCAUGUGUGUAUCAUCGAAGUUUCUAGAAUACAGAGAUGGAAUCUACUGAUUUUAACAUGGUAUCAUAGCUUAACAACUAUUAAUAUAGCUAUUUGCAUCACGAUCCACGAAGUUUGUCGACUGUGAGAUUUUUGUGAAACUCAGCUUUGGCGAUUGAUUAUACAGAGCUAGAGAAACACAACCACAAUCAUUUGUUGUAUCUAUAUGCAACAAAUACCUCUGGAACAAUGCUAAUUUCUCUUCAAUUGACCGGACCGAAAAAUUACUUGUGUGGAGUCGGGCUAUGCGAAUUGCGAUCCUAGAGAGAAAUAAAUUAUGGUUUAUAGACGACAUAUGCAAAAGGGAGAAUUACGGUCCAAAUUUAGUUGAUUUGUGGGAGAGAUGUAAUGCAAUAAUUCUAUCAUGGAUAAUGAAUUGUGUUUCAAAAAAAUAAUAUAGUGGAAUUGUAUAUCUACAAAUGUUGCAUCUGUGUAGGGAGAUUUGAAGGAGAGGUUUGAUAAGAUUGAUAAGAAGAUUGCUACAAUCAUAAGAAGAUUGCUACAAUCAACCAGGGGAUGAACACAAUUAUUUCUUGAAAUUGAGGCUGCUAUGGGCUGAAUUUGAUAGUUUGGCCCCAACUCCAAGUUGUGAUUGUGCAAAAUUUCAAGAAUUUAUGACAUUUAUGGAGCGAUUGAAGCUGCUAUAAUUUCUGAUAGGACUCAAUGAGUCGUAUGAGCAAGCUAGGAGCUAAUUGCUCAUGAUGGUACAUGUGCCUAACAUCAACAAAGCUUACUCUAUGCUAAUGGUAAGAGAGAGCCAAAAGAAACAUGACCAACACUGUCUCUGCAGCUGAAAGUGGAGACAUUGCAUCAUUGAUGAUGGCAAAAGAAGGAUUUACUCAAAAGCCUAAGAAUAGCUACAAUAUGUAAUGUGAUUACUGCAAACUCAAGGGCUAUACUCGUGAAGGAUGCUAUAAACUGAUAAGGUACCUUGCUGACUUCAAGAAUAAGAAAAAGCCAACCUUAAAUGUAGCUCACAAUGCCUCAAUUGAAGAUGGUAGAAGGCAUGAUGCAAAGGAAGCAACUCAGAACAAUGGUGAUGACUAUGCUACAGAACACAUGAAAGGACUUUACUUCAUCCCUGAGUAGUACUCUCAAAUUUUGAAGCUGCUGAAACAGGACAACACUGAUGAAAUCUUAGCAAAUAUGGCAGGGCAAUUGCUAUUGUUAUGAUGAGGUAACUACCAAAGGGUAUAUCCUAUAUGACCUAGUUGUUCACACAUUUUUUGUCAACAUGGAUGAUAGCUUCAGAGAAACCUUAUUUCCAUUCAAACACAAGAAAGAUAUACACUCACCAUUAUUCUCUGAUCCUGGUUUGGAUUAUUCUUAUCACAUGAUCCUACUGUAGAUCAUGUAGAAAUUGAAAGCCUCACAGAUAACUAGACGCUGCUUACUUGGGAGAUGCUAACGCAACAGACCUACCAACUGCAGCAGACCAUGCAACAAGCAUUCUAACUUUAGCAGACCUUCCAGAUGUUACUGCACCAAAUAUAGAGUUAGUUAUGAAAGACUUAAGUCUGAGUGAACAUGAUCAUGAAGAAGGAGUAUUCCAAGAUAUCAUGCCACCAGCUGAAUAAGUAGAGUUCAGAAAAUCAGACAAACCAAAGAAUACCCCUAAUUGGAUGAAAGACUUUAUCACACCAACCACCAAUUGUGCCUCACAUAUUCAAUAUCCUAUUCAGGAAUCAAUUGGCUACCUCAGUCCUACAUAUAGACAUUUUCUGACAGCUCUUACUUCUAUAGAUGAACCUAAAACCUUUAAGGAAGGUUCUGCAGACCCUAGAUGGGUGGAAGCCAUGAAAGCUGAAAUUUCAGCAUUGGAAGAGAACAACACAUGAGAAUUAGUACAUUUACCUAAAGGAAAGACUCCUAUUGAUUGUAAAUAAGUCUUCAAGGUAAAGUACAAAGCUAAUAGUGAUAUAGAGAGGUUUAAGGCAAAGCUGGUAGCAAAUGGCUACAAUCAAUAGGAAGGGCUUGAUUACACUAAAAUAUUUUCUCCAGUUGUGUAGAUAGCCACUGUCAGAUUAGUGGUCUCUAUAGGUGUUGUAGAAGGUUGGAACAUCCAUCAAAUUAAUGUGUACAAUACUUUUCUAUAGGGAGAUCUACAUGAUAAGGUUUAUAUGCAGUUACCCGAGGGCUUUGCAAGCCAGGAGGAGAGACCACACCUUGUUUGCAGGCUUGUCAAAUCUCUCUAUGGGUUGAAGCAAGAAAACAAGCAUUGGAAUGUCAAGUUAACUGAAGCUCUAGUAGCUCAAGGGUUCACCCAAAGUAGUUUGGAUCACUCUUUGUUCACUCAGAAAUAGAACAACAACAUUGUUGCUAUUUUGUUUUAUGUGGAUGAUAUGUUGAUCACCGGGAAUAGCUUGAAGCUGAUAGAAGCCACUAAGGGGAAACUGAAUCAGACAUUCAAAAUGAAGGAACAUAGAGAGUUAAAAUAUUUUUUAGGGAUUGAAUUCAACAGAUUCACUAAGGGAAUCUUGAUGAACCAGAGGAAGUAUGCCUUAGAAUUAAUUGGUGAAAUGGGAUUGAGUGCUGCAAAGCCUGCUUGGACUCCACUUGAGUAUAAUAAUAAAUUCACAAACAAGGAAUUAGAUGACAUUACAGGGGUGAAAGAUGAUGAUUUGCUGGAAUACAAGGGACAAUACCAGAGGCUAAUUGGGAAGCUAUUAUAUUUGACACUAACCAGAUUAGACAUAGCUUUUGCUAUUUAAACUCUAAGCCAUUUCAUGCAACAACCUAAAAGAAGUCACUGGGAAGCAACUCUAAGGUUCUGAGAUAUAUCAGAAGAGAACCUGGACUUGGCAUUCUAAUGAGUAGUAAAAAGGACAAUGUAUUAAGUGCAUAUCGUGGUGCUGAUUGGGCAUCGUAUCCCAAUACAAGAAAAUCAGUAACUUAUUUUCUAGUGAAGAAUGGAAGUUCACUUAUCUCCUAGAAGUCUAAGAAACAAAACACAACGUCGAGAAGCUCAUCAGAAGAUGAGUAUAGAAGCAUGGCAUGGACCGUUGCAGAACUAGUGUGGUUGACUGGACUGUUCAAAGAGUUGAGAGCAGAUGUGAGGCAGCCUAUUGACCUAUUUUAUGACAACAAAGCAGCACAACAGAUUGUAGCAAACCCAGUAUAUCAUGAGAGAACAAAGCAUAUAGAGAUUGAUUGUCAUUUUGUAAGGGAGAAGAUUCAACAAGAAAUGGUGAAAUACAUCAUGUCAGUUCCAAGGAGCAGCAAACAAAUAUAUUAACUAAGGCACUAUUGAGAUCACAACAUGAGUAUUUAGUGUCCAAACUGGGAGUGCUCAAUAUUUUUGCACCUAUCAGUUUGAGAGGGAGUGUUGAAACUGGUGCAACGUGAGGUUAGCUAACUCUAGUUAUUAGUUAACUAGGGUUAGGUAGUUAGUAAGUUGGUUAAUUAUUGGUAAGGUAGUUAGUGAGUUAGUUGAUAGGUGACAAUUGUACAUUAGUUGGAUAUUAGUGCAUGUGUGUUGUAUAAAUAAACAAGUUAGUGGAAUGAAGAAAUACAUGCUUUCAUUUUUA